rnacentral:rRNA from 1 species
CCUACGGGAUGCAGCAGUGAGGAAUAUUGGUCAAUGGACGAGAGUCUGAACCAGCCAAGUAGCGUGAAGGAUGACUGCCCUAUGGGUUGUAAACUUCUUUUAUAAAGGAAUAAAACGAGGCACGUGUGCCUUUUUGCAUGUACUUUAUGAAUAAGGAUCGGCUAACUCCGUGCCAGCAGCCGCGGUAAUACGGAGGAUCCGAGCGUUAUCCGGAUUUAUUGGGUUUAAAGGGAGCGUAGAUGGGUUGUUAAGUCAGUUGUGAAAGUUUGCGGCUCAACCGUAAAAUUGCAAUUGAUACUGGCAGUCUUGAGUACAGUUGAGGUAGGCGGAAUUCGUGGUGUAGCGGUGAAAGGCUUAGAUAUCACGAAGAACCCCGAUUGCGAAGGCAGCUUACUAAACUGUGACUGACAUUGAUGCUCGAAAGUGUGGGUAUCAAACAGGAUUAGAUACCCCUGUAGUC